rnacentral:rRNA from 1 species
GGCUUGUCGAUUAUAAUUUCAGGUCAGGCCUGCCCAAUGAAGAAUUUAAUGGCCGCGGUAUAUUGACCGUGCAAAGGUAGCAUAAUCAUUAGUUUUUUAAUUGAAAGCUUGUAUGAAAGGUUAGAUGAGAAAAUUUCUGUCUCUAGGAAAAUUAAUUAGAAUUUUAUUUUUGAGUGAGAAAGCUCAAAUUUCAGUAGAAGACGAGAAGACCCUAUAGAGUUUUAUAUCUAUAAGUGUGAUUAUUUUUAGGGGUUUAAUAUAUGAUUAUAGUUUGGGUAUUUUAUUGGGGUGAUUAGAAAAUUAGGUUAACUUUUCUUCAUAUAAACAUUUAUUUAUGAUUUUAUGAUCCUUUGGUUGAGAUUAUAAGAUUAAAUUACCUUAGGGAUAACAGCGUAAUCUCUUUUAGAGUUCUUAUCGAAAAGGAGGGUUGCGACCUCGAUGUUGGAUUAAAAUUUAUUAUUGGUGUAGAAGCUAGUAAAUUAGGUCUGUUCGACCUUUAAAAUUUUACAUGAUCUGAGUUUAAACCGGUGUGAG